rnacentral:rRNA from 1 species
GACAGAGGGGGCAAGCGUUGCUCGGAAUUACUGGGCGUAAAGGGCGCGUAGGCGGAAUGGCAAGUCGGUCGUGAAAUCCUUCGGCUCAACCGAAGAACGUCGAUCGAAACUGCCGUUCUUGAGGAUUGCAGAGGAGACUGGAAUUCCCGGUGUAGCGGUGAAAUGUGUAGAGAUCGGGAGGAACACCGGUGGCGAAGGCGGGUCUCUGGGCAAUUCCUGACGCUGAGGCGCGAAAGCUAGGGUAGCAAACGGG